rnacentral:rRNA from 1 species
AACGUAGGAGGCAAGCGUUAUCCGGAUUUACUGGGCGUAAAGCGCGUGCAGGCGGUUUGGCAAGUUGGAUGUGAAAGCUCCCGGCUCAACUGGGAGAGGUCGUUCAAAACUGCCAGACUGGAGGAUGGUAGAGGGAGGUGGAAUUCCGGGUGUAGUGGUGAAAUGCGUAGAUAUCCGGAGGAACACCAGUGGCGAAAGCGGCCUCCUGGACCAUUUCUGACGCUCAGACGCGAAAGCUAGGGGAG